CACUGGCGGGGAGGGUGGGGCUCAUCCCUGAG
rnacentral:scRNA from 1 species